UGAGGAAUAUUGGUCAAUGGACGAGAGUCUGAACCAGCCAAGUAGCGUGAAGGAUGACUGCCCUAUGGGUUGUAAACUUCUUUUAUAUGGGAAUAAAGUUUUCCACGUGUGGAAUUUUGUAUGUACCAUAUGAAUAAGGAUCGGCUAACUCCGUGCCAGCAGCCGCGGUAAUACGGAGGAUCCGAGCGUUAUCCGGAUUUAUUGGGUUUAAAGGGAGCGUAGGUGGACAGUUAAGUCAGUUGUGAAAGUUUGCGGCUCAACCGUAAAAUUGCAGUUGAUACUGGCUGUCUUGAGUACAGUAGAGGUGGGCGGAAUUCGUGGUGUAGCGGUGAAAUGCUUAGAUAUCACGAAGAACUCCGAUUGCGAAGGCAGCUCACUGGACUGCAACUGACACUGAGGCUCGAAAGUGUGGGUAUCAAACAGG
rnacentral:rRNA from 1 species